UUUGGUUCUGGAAUGAUUUCGUAAGCCUUGAAUCCACUGGGAAGAGAUUGAGUAAAAGUCGUCAUGUGCAAGAGCUCUGAAGAUACCAAUUGUUUACUGGUAAGGCAUGCAAAGGUGGGAAUCAGCAAGAGCACAAAUUGAGAAUACUCGAACGGAAAUCUCGCCCGAGCAAAAUUGAGUAAACGAGUUACACUGUCAUUAUUUUCAAAAAGUUGGUAAACCUGAGGUGUCUUAAAGAGAGUAGUAGCGCAAAGCAUUGUUGAAUCUGAAAACUUAACAUAGGAUACUGCACUAGAAAA